AACUUUUGACAACGGAUCUCUUGGCUCUCGCAUCGAUGAAGAACGCAGCGAAAUGCGAUAACUAAUGUGAAUUGCAGAAUUCAGUGAAUCAUCGAGUUUUUGAACGCACCUUGCGCUCCUUGGCAUUCCUUGGAGCAUGCCUGUUUUAGUGUCAUGAAAUUUUCAACUCUUCCGACCUGUUUGUGGGUCUGGUCGAGCUUGGACUUGGAGGUACCUUUCUGGAUGAGAGGUCGGCUCCUUUUGAAUGCAUUAGCUGAACCCGCAGUGGAUCGGUCCCUCGGUUUAAUAACAACCUCAAUGCCAUCUCCCUUGCAGCCUCAAACGUGGGAUUCGCUUCCAAUCCUCUUCCUACAUCGACUUCAGGCGAUCGCUGACCAUUUUUAUCUCAAACCAGGUAGGACUACCCGCUGAACUUAAGCAUAUCAACAAGCUGAGGCU
rnacentral:misc_RNA from 1 species